GCCGGAAGACCAAGGGUUCCUGUCCAACGUUAAUCGGGGCAGGGUGAGUCGACCCCUAAGGCGAGGCAGAAAUGCGUAGUCGAUGGGAAACGGGUUAAUAUUCCCGUACUGGUGAUAAUUGCGAUGGGGGGACGGAGAAGGCUAGGCUGGCCGGGCGACGGUUGUCCCGGUUUAAGGAUGUAGGCAGGUGAAUUAGGCAAAUCCGGUUCACUACAUGCUGAGGUCUGAUGACGAGUCACUACGGUGGCGAAGUAGCUCAUGCCCCGCUUCCAGGAAAAGCCUCUAAGCUCUAGAUUAUCACUAAUCGUACCCCAAACCGACACAGGUGGUCAGGUAGAGAAUACUCAGGCGCUUGAGAGAACUCGGGUGAAGGAACUAGGCAAAAUGGUGCCGUAACUUCGGGAGAAGGCACGCUGGCGCUAGGUGAAGUGGUUUACCCAUGGAGCUGAAGCCAGUCGCAGAUACCAGCUGGCUGCAACUGUUUAUUAAAAACACAGCACUGUGCAAACACGAAAGUGGACGUAUACGGUGUGACGCCUGCCCGGUGCUGGAAGGUUAAUUGAUGGGGUUAUCCGUAAGGAGAAGCUCUUGAUCGAAGCCCCAGUAAACGGCGGCCGUAACUAUAACGGUCCUAAGGUAGCGAAAUUCCUUGUCGGGUAAGUUCCGACCUGCACGAAUGGCGUAAUGAUGGCCACGCUGUCUCCACCCGAGACUCAGUGAAAUUGAAAUCGCUGUGAAGAUGCAGUGUACCCGCGGCAAGACGGAAAGACCCCGUGAACCUUUACUAUAGCUUGACACUGAACAUUGAGCCUUGAUGUGUAGGAUAGGUGGGAGGCUUUGAAGUGUGGACGCCAGUCUGCAUGGAGCCAACCUUGAAAUACCACCCUUUAAUGUUUGAUGUUCUAACGUUGCCCCGUUAUCCGGGGUGCGGACAGUGUCUGGUGGGUAGUUUGACUGGGGCGGUCUCCUCCCAAAGAGUAACGGAGGAGCACGAAGGUUGGCUAAGCAUGGUCGGACAUCAUGCGGUUAGUGCAAAGGCAUAAGCCAGCUUGACUGCGAGAGUGACGGCUCGAGCAGGUACGAAAGCAGGUCAUAGUGAUCCGGUGGUUCUGAAUGGAAGGGCCAUCGCUCAACGGAUAAAAGGUACUCCGGGGAUAACAGGCUGAUACCGCCCAAGAGUUCAUAUCGACGGCGGUGUUUGGCACCUCGAUGUCGGCUCAUCACAUCCUGGGGCUGAAGUCGGUCCCAAGGGUAUGGCUGUUCGCCGUUUAAAGUGGUACGCGAGCUGGGUUUAGAACGUCGUGAGACAGUUCGGUCCCUAUCUGCCGUGGGCGUUGGAAGAUUGAAAGGGGCUGCUCCUAGUACGAGAGGACCGGAGUGGACGCACCACUGGUGUUCGGGUUGUCAUGCCAAUGGCAUUGCCCGGUAGCUAAGUGCGGAAGAGAUAACCGCUGAAAGCAUCUAAGCGGGAAACUUGCCUUGAGAUGAGUCUUCCCUGACCCUUUAAGGGUCCUAAAGGAACGUUUAAGACUAAGACGUUGAUAGGUUGGGUGUGUAAGCAUAGCGAUAUGUUGAGCUAACCAAUACUAAUGAACCGUGAGGCUUAACCUGACAACAC
rnacentral:rRNA from 1 species